GGAGGGAUCAUUACCGAGUUUACAACUCCCAAACCCCUGUGAACAUACCUAUACGUUGCCUCGGCGGAUCAGCCCGCGCCCCGUAAAAAGGGACGGCCCGCCCGAGGACCCCUAAACUCUGUUUUUAGUGGAACUUCUGAGUAAAACAAACAAAUAAAUCAAAACUUUCAACAACGGAUCUCUUGGUUCUGGCAUCGAUGAAGAACGCAGCAAAAUGCGAUAAGUAAUGUGAAUUGCAGAAUUCAGUGAAUCAUCGAAUCUUUGAACGCACAUUGCGCCCGCCAGUAUUCUGGCGGGCAUGCCUGUUCGAGCGUCAUUUCAACCCUCAAGCUCAGCUUGGUGUUGGGACUCGCGGUAACCCGCGUUCCCCAAAUCGAUUGGCGGUCACGUCGAGCUUCCAUAGCGUAGUAAUCAUACACCUCGUUACUGGUAAUCGUCGCGGCCACGCCGUAAAACCCCAACUUCUGAAUGUUGACCUCGGAUCAGGUA
rnacentral:rRNA from 1 species